ACUUGAAUAGCUUAUAUUUUAGAGCGUGACACUGAAGAUGUUAAUGAGGCUAAUUUGGCCUUUGAGUA
rnacentral:tRNA from 1 species